UGGGGAAUAUUGGACAAUGGGCGAAAGCCUGAUCCAGCCAUGCCGCGUGUGUGAAGAAGGCCUUUUGGUUGUAAAGCACUUUAAGCGGGGAGGAGGGCACUGUGGUUAAUACCCAUGGAUGUCGGACGUUACCCGCAGAAUAAGCACCGGCUAACUCUGUGCCAGCAGCCGCGGUAAUACAGAGGGUGCGAGCGUUAAUCGGAAUUACUGGGCGUAAAGCGCGCGUAGGCGGCUUGUUAAGUCAAAUGUGAAAUCCCCGAGCUAACUUGGGCAUUGCAUUCGAUACUGGCAAGCUAGAGUAUGGGAGAGGAAGGUAGAAUUCCAGGUGUAGCGGUGAAAUGCGUUAGAGAUCUGGAGGAAUACCGAUGGCGAAGGCAGCCUUCUGGCCUAAUACUGACGCUGAGGUGCGAAAAGCAUGGGGAGC
rnacentral:rRNA from 1 species